AACUGGGCCUGAGAAGGUGCCAAUCUGGUAAGUGCCCUGGGGACCAGGAGCCCAAAAACCAGGCCCACUCUUGUAGUGGAAGGAGGGACUGAUC